UACAGAGGUCCCAAGCGUUGUUCGGAUUCACUGGGCGUAAAGGGUGCGUAGGCGGUUGGGUAAGUCUGAUGUGAAAUCUCACAGCUUAACUGUGAAACUGCAUUGGAUACUAUCCAACUCGAGGAAUGGAGGGGAGACUGGAAUUCCUGGUGUAGCGGUGAAAUGCGCAGAUAUCAGGAGGAACACCGAUGGCGAAGGCAGCUCGCUGGGACGGUACUGACGCUGAGGCGCGAAAGCGUGGGGAGCAAACAGG
rnacentral:rRNA from 1 species